GCGCCAGUGGUUUAGUGGUAAAAUCCAUCGUUGCCAUCACAGUAUGAGUUCUCCUUGACUCGGUGACAGUCUCGAUGGGCCCCGCGUUCGAUUCGCGGCUGGCGCA